rnacentral:rRNA from 1 species
GGGCUACACACGUGCUACAAUGGCGUAUACAACGAGUUGCCAACCCGCGAGGGUGAGCUAAUCUCUUAAAGUACGUCUCAGUUCGGAUUGUAGUCUGCAACUCGACUACAUGAAGUCGGAAUCGCUAGUAAUCGCGGAUCAGCACGCCGCGGUGAAUACGU